rnacentral:rRNA from 1 species
UCGGGAAUUUUGGGCAAUGGGGGAAACCCUGACCCAGCAACGCCGCGUGAAGGAUGAAGUAUUUCGGUAUGUAAACUUCGAAAGAAUAGGAAGAAUAAAUGACGGUACUAUUUAUAAGGUCCGGCUAACUACGUGCCAGCAGCCGCGGUAAUACGUAGGGACCAAGCGUUGUUCGGAUUUACUGGGCGUAAAGGGCGCGUAGGCGGCAAUUCAAGUCAUCUGUGAAAUCUCCGGGCUUAACUCGGAACGGUCAGAUGAUACUGCUUUGCUAGAGUGCAGAAGGGGCAAUCGGAAUUCUUGGUGUAGCGGUGAAAUGCGUAGAUAUCAAGAGGAACACCUGAGGUGAAGACGGGUUGCUGGGCUGGACACUGACGCUGAGGCGCGAAAGCCAGGGGAGCAAACGGGAUUAGAUACCCGUGUAGUCCCUGAGCGGGCUGGCAAGGCGCAU